GACGAACGCUGGCGGCGUGCUUAACACAUGCAAGUCGAACGGGGGCUUGCCCUUUGGGGCGGGUUUAGUGGCGAACGGGUGAGUAACACGUGGGUAAUCUGCCCUCAGCUCUGGGAUAACGUCCGGGAAACCGGGGCUAAUACUGGAUAUGACUACUGGUGACAUCGCCUGGUGGUGGAAAGUAUUUUUUGGCUGAGGAUGGGCCCGCGGCCUAUCAGCUUGUUGGUGGGGUAAUGGCCUACCAAGGCUUCGACGGGUAGCCGGCCUGAGAGGGCGACCGGCCACACUGGGACUGAGACACGGCCCAGACU
rnacentral:rRNA from 1 species